AUGUUGGGGGAUGGGGUGGGCAACGUGACAGGUUGUGAAGAAUACAAUCACCGAUCAACCGCUCCUAGGGACCCGCAAGCAGAUGCCUCGGGGCCAGCAGAUGGCCAAGAUACACUCUCCUGGCUGCGUCCCCGCCCCGCCCCCCACCACCCGGGAUUCCAUCCCCGCCUUGCUUUGUGGUCUCGAGUGGGUAUCGAUCUGACUAAGAAGGAAGAGCUACAGUGACCCCACAGUGGGAGUCUGGAGGAGUAGACACCUGAUCUUAUGCAUUUCUCUGACAUCCACCCCUGCUGAAGACUCCAGAAGGUAGGGAGCUCUUUCAUGGGAUCCAUAGGGUCAUUUCCACCAGGUCCAAACUAUGGAGAAGGAGGAGAGUGAAUGUGGAAAGACCAGCAGAAGAUAUUCAGCACACUUUUUUCCUAAUAAAGUCACUUAAGGCUUUAAUUCCUCUGAGUAUUAUUUUGGCUAUAUUCUUGAUUUCUGACUAGUUUGAGAUUUCCCUCUUAAACCAAUAAUAUUUUGGAACAGCAGGUCAAAAUUCCAAGGAAAGAAGAAGGUAUACCUUUUGGUUAACUUAUAAUUUUAGGGGACACCUGGGUGGCUCAGCGGUUGAGCAUCUGCCUUUGGCCCAGGGCAUGAUCCUGGGGUCUCUGGAUCAAGUCCCACGUCGGGCUCCCUACAUGGAGCCUGCUUCUCCCUCUGCCUGUGUUUCUGCCUCUCUCUCUCUCUGUGUUUCUCAUGAAUAAACAAACAAACAAACAAACAAAUAUUAUUUUAUUUUAUUUUUUUUAAUUUUUUAUUUAUUUAUGAUAGUCACAGAGAGAGAGAGAGAGAGAGGCAGAGACAUAGGCAGAGGGAGAAGCAGGCUCCAUGCACCGGGAGCCCGAUGUGGGAUUCGAUCCCGGGUCUCCAGGAUCGCGCCCUGGGCCAAAGGCAGGCGCCAAACCGCUGCGCCACCCAAGGAUCCCCAAAUAUUAUUUUAAAAACUUAUAAUUUUAGUAGAUU
rnacentral:lncRNA from 1 species